CCACGGUAUGUUUGUGGUUGAAAGUCCAAGCCAGCUGCGGGCAAAGGGAUCCACGUAAGCCGUCAGCAGGAAGCGGCGGUGAUCAUGGCGUAGUUUAGAAGUAAGUCCUCCGGGAAACUCGGGUCAAGGCAAGUGUGGGGUCAAAGACCAGGUCAAGUGCCGAGG
rnacentral:ncRNA from 12 species